rnacentral:lncRNA from 1 species
GCCACUAUUUUCCAUGGGGCACUUAGAAUAUUACAAGCCAUUUUAUUGCCAAAACCAGCACGUACACAGAAUCCCGAGAUAAGGCAGUUCCUGUGACAGUGCCUUGGCCUCCUGGAAGCAGUCUGAGCCCUCCUGUUCCCAGGGAUCAUGAGAAACAAGCCCUCCUGAGCUGCAAGAAGCCUGACUGACCUCCUUUACAGUCAUCUGUUUUCUCUUGACGUGGGUGCUCACCUCACUUAUCCUUGGGGUUUGGGACCUGGCAUCAGGACCUCUUCACCCAGGAUCCUCCAUGCCACAUGGUCACUGCUUUCCUCAGGGACCAGGACAAGGUGCUGCUGUCUGCCCACACUUUCCCAAGGAACACGUACAGAAUCAUUUAGCCACUACCCUGCUGCUUCUCAGGCCUCCGCUGGGGCUUCCAGCUGGGUACAUGGCUGCUUGGCUGUUUGGGGCGGUCCUUCCUCCUUGGGUCCACAAUCCUGGCUCCAGCACCCCCUGCAGACUACACAGUGGGGGUCGGUGGAUGUGAGUGGCUAGACCUCUCAUUUUCAGCUCUAGUCAUAGCCCUUCUUCAGCGUCUCCUAGGCACUACUGCAGCCCCACUGGGGCAGCUAGUAUCCCAGGGUGGACUUUAGGCACCAGAGUCUUUAACAAGAAAAUCCUCUAGUAUUGUGUGGUUUUCUAUUUUUCCAGUUUACUCUCCUAACUAUUCAGAAGCAUUUUGCUCUCUCUUGCAUUUUCUUUUACCUUGUUUUUCUAAUACUGCUUUGGUACUAGCCCAUGUGGGGAAGAGAUACAGUAUGUUGGACAGAUAAAAAGGUGUGUUAUUUCUUGGUCAAUUUUCUAUUCGUAUUCCUUAUUUUGGCCAGUUCUUUUGUUUAUGCUUUGUGACAUAGGUACUUGGGAGGCUAGCUGCCCUCCUGGCUUUUGGCUUUUCGGUGUCCUUGAAGGAGACCAGUCAUGACCACCAAGGAGAAUGUCAGCUUGAUUCAGAACUUGGCAGAGGCCGAGCUCUGCUGCACUGUCAGGCCAGGUCUGGAUGUCAGCAGUUGGAGAUGUAAAUAUUUUGUACAGUAAAUAAAAUGCCUACAAUAAUCAAAAAAAAAAA